AACCCCCACCCGCCCGGUUUUCUUUCAUCCCCCACACCCCCCACGAUGGAGCGGUUUUUCUACCCCACCAGCUCGCAGAUGCGAUUCCCAGCGCCGACCACCGGACCCCGUACUUCCCUGCAAGCGCCCCGCCCGGCGUCGCCCGCCCGCGCGAUUCCCUGCGCAGCCGGCGUCCGCGCCGCCCGGCGAGCUGCAGCUCCCUCUCCCGCCAGCCCCCGUAUUUUCUUGCGCGUGCCUCGCCUGGCGACGCCGGCCCGCGCGAUUCCCGGCGACCGCGCCGCCCGGCGAGCUCCAGCGCCGAGUGCCCUUGCCCCCCUCUCCUGCCGUCCCGGUGGUAGCCUGACGCCGCUGUGCCGCAUCCUCGACUCACCCGCCUCCGGCCAUCAUCGUGAGACGCUACCCUGAUGGAGUCUUCUGAUUUGACAGCGUCCAUGCCGCCUCCCUCUCGCCACUGGCAGUGACGGAAGAUCUAUUCGGUCUUGUUGCAUUCCGAGACCGCACAUGCACGCCGGCUUCCUCGGCUCGCGGUGCCAGAUUUGGGGCGUGGUUGGCCUGAAGAAGCAAGCGCAGUGCCCAUAGAACGAGUUUAGAAUUAUGUUUGAUUCGAACUUUUCUGCGUGAUUUUGAUUUUUUUUUCUGUUGGGCAGGGGGAGUUCCGUAAAGGGGAGUCGUGGCUGACUCCUGGUCCCUUCCUCGACUCGGAUCUGGUAGGGCUGCUACCGUGGUGGAUGGGUUCCUCUAUUCAUGCACCUCUCAUAUGAAUUCAGGCGAUAAUUUGCUUGUUGUUGAUCUCGUGUGUGUCUGAGGUUGGUACAUGCUUACUAUCGCCGUGGAGUUUUAUUUAGAAAAUCUAUUUUCAUUAUCAGUUUUUCAUAUGCACGGAUAGGUGCUGGUGCUAUUGAGACCGAGUACAUUGUAUGGACGAUUGAGCAACUGCGUUGCACUCCAUUUCGAUGGAUGGAAAGUAAAUGAUAUUAUUCCAACUGUGCAUGAUAUUAUUGAGCGACUAUCCAUAGGCAUGCUUAUGUAUUCUGAAAUUUCAGUAUCCAAUUAUGCAUGCUGCUUUGCAUGCUGCAAAACCAUUUAUAUAUUUCUGAGAUGCUUAUCUUUGAAUAUGGACAUCAUAGUAUCUUGUCAAUUCCUGCUGAUUUGGACUGAAUAAUAUGGUGACAAAUUCCUAAGUCUGCAGCCAGUUCAUGCACUUGAUUACAUCAUGUCUAUGGGGUUUGUUGCAACACAAUUCCAAUCUAUUGUUACUUGAUAAUAGUUUUGCUCUUAUGUAAUGUGUAUAGGCUGUCUUUAACCUGCACAUACUAAUAAUUCUUAGCUCUUAUACAGAUUGCAAUAUGCAUGCUGGGAAUUAUACUUUUGCAUCAAAUGUUUCCUGCGGAAUGAUCUCUUGUGGAAGUUAUACUUCCCUAACUGAUUACCACUUCAAGUCACUCAGUUAAGGUUGGAUUAGAUUGUUGACCCCAUUGCUUUGCUAACUGAAUUAGUGUUUGGUGACUUUAUUUUGUGAAUAUGACUAGUUGAGUUCCUGUUCAGAAUUCAGAUAAGCAACUUGUUUUUGUUCAGAGAUGUAAAUGUCCAGAUGUGUGUGCUUCUUAGUUGUCACUGCAAGAUAUGCAUUCACCCGAACGAUGCUGAUCUGGUUUGCCAAUACAAUUUUGGUGCUACAUGAAGAGUUUGAUUGGUUUGAUUGCUUGGUAUGAGUUAAUAUAUUUGGAUCAAUAUACUUUCUUAAUUAUUGCAGAUGUUCUGAUGCAUUGGCCCCUCUAUACAUUGUGGUUCAUGAAUCAUGAUACUAGUUUGCAUGAUCAAUGUGCCUUGUUCUAUCUGAAAUACUUAUGGUAUGCCCCAUUGGCUUCAUCUUUAAUCCCUAACGUUGGGUGUUGCUGUCUCUACAGCAAUGAAGGGAUCGGUCCAGCUGCCUUCCUGCAGAGCCCAUUCUGACUGAAGCUGGUGGAGACGAGCAGAAGGCCGAUAACGUGACGUGAAUCCCCCAAUCUCUGCUGAUUUCGACUCAAACGCAGCCUUUUCGAGUAUCCUUUGUACAGGUGUCGGGCGCUAGGACCAUCUUCUUGUGAAACCUAUAUGUGCGGAGCUCCAAGAUCACAUUAUAGCACAUGGUCGGGCUCCAAGAUCACAUUAUAGCACAUGGUCGGAUGAAACAAGAUUGACUUUUGUUUGCAUUAUUGAAGACGUCAAAUAAGCUUUCAGAUAAUGGUGAAGAAAGUGUAGAAAAUUAAUGUUAGCUUGAUGGUUCAUGUCUUCCGGAGACAUCCCUUUGUAUGCCUGCAAUGUGAUCCCUACUAACCCUUCUUAUGGUGUGAUAAUGUGUUCCAAAGAAAUUAAAUGCGAGAUGCAGCCAUGCUGGGGAAGGCCGGUAUAUGCAUUUUUUUUUCUUUCCUUAACUUGUAUAUGCCAAUCAAUGGCUAGAUUCUAGAUUCAAAUUACAGCUAUGUAAGUUCUUUCCUCUAUCCUUUUAAUUAAUUCAUAUAGUUAUCUCUUUUAA